rnacentral:rRNA from 1 species
UACAGAGGGUGCAAGCGUUGUUCGGAAUUAUUGGGCGUAAAGCGCGUGUAGGCGGCCUUGCAAGUCGGGUGUGAAAGCCCUCAGCUUAACUGAGGAAGUGCGCCCGAAACUGCUCGGCUUGAGUACCGGAGAGGAUGGCGGAAUUCCCCAAGUAGAGGUGAAAUUCGUAGAUAUGGGGAGGAACACCGGUGGCGAAGGCGGCCAUCUGGACGGAUACUGACGCUGAGACGCGAAAGCGUGGGUAGCAAACAGG